GACGAACGCUGGCGGCGUGCCUAAUACAUGCAAGUAGAACGCUGAAGGAGGAGCUUGCUCUUCUGGAUGAGUUGCGAACGGGUGGGUAACGCGUAGGUAACCUGCCUGGUAGCGGGGGAUAACUAUUGGAAACGAUAGCUAAUACCGCAUAACAUUGACUAUUGCAUGAUAGUCAAUUGAAAAGGUGCAAAUGCACCACUACCAGAUGGACCUGCGUUGUAUUAGCUAGUUGGUGGGGUAACGGCUCACCAAGGCGACGAUACAUAGCCGACCUGAGAGGGUGAUCGGCCACACUGGGACUGAGACACGGCCCAGACUCCUACGGGAGGCAGCAGUAGGGAAUCUUCGGCAAUGGACGGAAGUCUGACCGAGCAACGCCGCGUGAGUGAAGAAGGUUUUCGGAUCGUAAAGCUCUGUUGUAAGAGAAGAACGAGUGUGAGAGUGGAAAGUACACACUGUGACG
rnacentral:rRNA from 1 species